CUGGCGGUUGCUUACCAUGCAAGUCGACGGUAACANCNAGAGCUUGCUCUUGNCUGACGAGUGGCGGACGGGUGAGUNACGCGUGGGAAUCUGCCUACUANCGGGGGAUANCCCGGAGAAAUCCGGAUUAAUACCGCAUAANCCCUACGGGGGAAAGCUGGGGAUCUUCGGACCUGGCACUAGUAGAUGAGCCCGCGUUAGAUUAGCUUGUUGGUGGGGUAAUGGCCUACCAAGGCAACGAUCUAUAGCUGGUCUGAGAGGACGAUCAGCCACACUGGGACUGAGACACGGCCCAGACUCCUACGGGAGGCAGCAGUGGGGAAUAUUGCACAAUGGGCGCAAGCCUGAUGCAGCAAUACCGCGUGUGUGAAGAAGGCCUGAGGGUUGUAAAGCACUUUCAAUAGUGAGGAAAUGCUCUUGGUUAAUAACCUUGAGUUUUGACGUUAACUAUACAAGAAGCACCGGCUAACUCCGUGCCAGCAGCCGCGGUAAUACGAAGGGC
rnacentral:rRNA from 1 species